UACGUAGGGAGCGAGCGUUGUCCGGAAUUACUGGGUGUAAAGGGAGCGUAGGCGGGGUUUUAAGUCCGUUGUGAAAUCUAUCGGCUCAACCGGUAGCUGCGGCGGAAACUGGGACUCUUGAGUGAAGUAGAGGCAGGCGGAAUUCCUAGUGUAGCGGUGAAAUGCGUAGAUAUUAGGAGGAACACCAGUGGCGAAGGCGGCCUGCUGGGCUUUUACUGACGCUGAGGCUCGAAAGUGUGGGGAGCAAACAGGAUUAGAUACCCUGGUAGUCCACACUGUAAACGAUGAUUACUAGGUGUGGGGGGUCUGACCCCUUCCGUGCCGGAGUUAACACAAUAAGUAAUCCACCUGGGGAGUACGGCCGCAAGGUUGAA
rnacentral:rRNA from 1 species